rnacentral:rRNA from 1 species
CAGCCGCCGCGGUAAUACGAAGGGGGCUAGCGUUGUUCGGAAUUACUGGGCGUAAAGCGCACGUAGGCGGACAUUUAAGUCAGGGGUGAAAUCCCGGGGCUCAACCCCGGAACUGCCUUUGAUACUGGGUGUCUAGAGUAUGGAAGAGGUGAGUGGAAUUCCGAGUGUAGAGGUGAAAUUCGUAGAUAUUCGGAGGAACACCAGUGGCGAAGGCGGCCCCCUGGACAAAGACUGACGCUCAGGUGCGAAAGCGUGGGGAGCAAACAGGAUUAGAUACCCCCGUAGUCCCUGUCUCUUAUAC